CUCUUUUACUGAAAACUGGUUAAAAAUUUCUGGUAACUUGUUCGAUGAAAAGGGUAGUGAAUUGGCAAUUUGACGUGGUAAGAAAGUUGUUGGGUUUGUGUUUUUGGUAAAGUGCAAGUUCAUGGUUUUGCCGGGAUACAUGUCCUUUUCCAUGAAAAAUAGAGCCACGUUUCGGUCAUCAUGAAGUUGAUUUUCGGUGGCAGCAUAAUUGUAGGCGAAUGGGUCUGGCCCUGGUUUUACUCCAACAUAUACAGGCUUUCCCUUGUGUCCAGUGUUAACAGUUACUCCACCUUUGCCAACACUUACAUUUGUUCUCUUCCCAGGCUUUCCAGUGUUAACACCAACGCCUCUACCUCCCACAUUAACAGUAGUACCCGGUUUUCCUUUCCCUGUGUUUACAUUUACUCCACCCUUCCCAACGUUUACAGAAGUGCCGCUGGGUUUUCCUUUUCCUGAAUUAACAUUUACUCCGCCCUUCCCUACAUUGACAGUAGUUCCUCCCGGCUUUCCCUUCCCUGCUUCAAC
rnacentral:lncRNA from 1 species